ensembl:lncRNA
GGAAUCUAUUAAACAACCUGUUUGUGCACGACGCCUGCCAGGAGCAGACCAUUGAAAAUCUGCUGAGAUUUCAGCGGUGAAUGCAGCCUAAAAAUCAAUGACACGGCAUGUCUGGGAGGUGGGUCUGGAAAUAGCACGGCCAGUGCUGCUGAGAAGUAUCACGUUCCUGGCAGUGGGAACACUCAAGGCAUGGCCACCUGCCCCGUGGGGACACGAGUCCUGCUGCUCCCCGGCACACAGCCGUAUCACACAGGAAAGCAACCACAGCAGGGCCUGGAGGCGGAUGGGAUCUCAGCACCACUCGAAGGCCAAUGCAGGCAAGGCGAUGGGCAUGGAGAACCACCUGCACUGGGAUCCCCAUGCUUAUUGCUUCCUUGGGGUCCUCUGAGUGGGACGGGCUUGUCUAAAAGAAGAGAGAUCAUUACGGUCCUGGUAACCGCCUCACUCAGGCUACAGACUGAAGCUCUGAAUUGAAUCACGGGUGGUAGUUCAUAAUCAAGAGCGAUAUAUUUCACCUUCCUGUGUCCAACGACUGAUGUAACAUAUGGACAUGCUUGGCAGUGGAAACUCACUGGCAUGGGCGCCUGAGUCAGAACGAUGCUCCUAAGCUCUGCAAUACUACCAUUUCCCCUGCAUGAUAAACACCAUGGGCCAGUCACAGCAAGACCACUUGGUUUUCACUUCUGGAGCGCGCAUUCUUAGUGCUGUCGAUUCCUGCAAUAUUUGUUUUGAAGACGUUCUUCCCGGCUCCACGUAACGAGGUGCAAAUCACAGCCACUCUCUCGUUCCUAAAAGUUACCAGUCUCCAGAGAAAAGUCUGAAAGUAGGGGCAGAAUGCAAAACAGGGACCCCAACAUGAGCUGCCAUUUUGGCACCCGCUCUCCAUUGAGCCUCAUCCUUUUCGUUUCCCGCCACCUGAUGCUGCAUUCUACGUAACUGGGGAGGAUGUGAGAGGCAGCACGGCGCGAUCCGGCGGCUGAGAACACGCAGCGGCGGGAAGAAUUCCCUUAAAAAAAAAAAUAACGAUUAUAAUAAUAAUUAAACAGGAAAAAAAAAACAGCAGGGGGAGGCUUUCCAGGUCCCUGCUUCUACCCGGGGCCAGCCCCCGCUCGCUGCUCAUGUUUUCCACUGGGGGGGAG